CUACGUGCCAGCAGCCGCGGUAAUACGGAAGGUCCGGGCGUUAUCCGGAUUUAUUGGGUUUAAAGGGAGCGUAGGCUGGAGAUUAAGUGUGUUGUGAAAUGUAGACGCUCAACGUCUGACUUGCAGCGCAUACUGGUUUCCUUGAGUACGCACAACGUUGGCGGAAUUCGUCGUGUAGCGGUGAAAUGCUUAGAUAUGACGAAGAACUCCGAUUGCGAAGGCAGCUGACGGGAGUGCAACUGACGCUGAAGCUCGAAGGUGCGGGUAUCGAACAGGAUUAGAUACCCUGGUAGUCCGCACAGUAAACGAUGGAUGCCCGCUGUUGGUACCUGGUAUCAGCGGCUAAGCGAAAGCAUUAAGCAUCCCACCUGGGGAGUACGCCGGCAACGGUGAAACUCAAAGGAAUUGACGGGGGCCCGCACAAGCGGAGGAACAUGUGGUUUAAUUCGAUGAUACGCGAGGAACCUUACCCGGGCUUGAAUUGCAGAGGAAGGAUUUAGAGAUA
rnacentral:rRNA from 1 species